rnacentral:rRNA from 1 species
CCAGAGACCGAUAGCGCACAAGUAGAGUGAUCGAAAGAUGAAAAGCACUUUGGAAAGAGAGUUAAACAGUACGUGAAAUUGUUGAAAGGGAAGCGCUUGCAAUCAGACUUGCGCUUGGUGUUCAUCGGGGCCUCGUGCCCGUGUACUUCACCAAGCUCAGGCCAGCAUCAGUCUGGGUGGUUAGAUAAAGGCCUGGGGAAUGUGGCCCUCCUCGGGGGGUGUUAUAGCUCCAGGUGCAAUGUAGCCUGCCCGGACUGAGGACCGCGCUUCGGCUAGGAUGCUGG